rnacentral:rRNA from 1 species
AGUGAACGCUGGCGGUAGGCCUAACACAUGCAAGUCGAACGGCAGCACAGUAAGAGCUUGCUCUUACGGGUGGCGAGUGGCGGACGGGUGAGGAAUACAUCGGAAUCUACUUUUUCGUGGGGGAUAACGUAGGUAAACUUACGCUCAUACCGCAUAUGACCUACGGGUGAAAGCAGGGGAUCUUCUGACCUUGCGCGAUUGAAUGCGCCGAUGUCGGAUUAGCUAGUUGGCGGGGUAAAGGCCCACCAAGGCGACGAUCCGUAGCUGGUCUGAGAGGAUGGUCAGCCACACUGGAACUUAGACACGGUCCAGACUCCUACGGGAGGCAGCAGUGGGGAAUAUUGGACAAAGGGCGCAAGCCUGGUCCAGCCAUACCGCGUGGGUGAAGAAGGCCUUCGGGUUGUAAAGCCCUUUUGUUGGGAAAGAAAAGCAGCAGGUUAAUACCCCGCUGUUCUGACGGUACCCAAAGAAUAAGCACCGGCUAACUUCGUG